ensembl:lncRNA
CUCCUUUUGCCAUGGAGCUCAAUGGGAGUAAAAAUCUGUCUACUGGGGAGAGCACAGUACUCUCUACUGCAGCAGUUCCCCCAGAGGAGAUACAUCAACACUCAGGUGUCAAGGUUUACGACGACGGCAGCAAGUGUGUUUAUGCCCUGAACUCACAAGAGGGGUCAAAAGAACAGAGCAGUGGGUCUGAGCUGUCAGCCAAGGACGUUAAACACUUGCAAAGAAGCGCCACAAUGCACCACCAAGUACACCAACCAAACUACCACCAAAACCACAGCAGGAGGGAGGAGCAUUGUUUUUACAAGCACCAAGAUGAAACAGACAGAGCGCUGGGGUGUGACCUUAGACACCCGGAGGGUCACUGCGGUAACCAUCUCCCCAGAAACAACAGCUCGGAGAAAGACUUGAGCUCUAGGGAGAAGUGGCAGAGAAAACCAGGGGCAGAACAUCGCUUUGGUCCCCAAGAAAGCCAUUACAGAAGGCAGGAAGAGAGAAAUUACCAAAGCAACCUGAGGGAAGGUCAUCACCUUGGAAACUACAAGGGCUUGGGAAAUUACUACAACAACCAGAGCGAUUGUCACUACAGUUCAUACCAGGUGAGAAACUGUGUUCAAGAAGAUUGGCCUGCAAGCGGCAUCAACAAAAGCAAUAGUUUGGUAAGUGGAGGCAGAGCCAAUGGCUGCCUUCCUCCCAGAUCACAUGACCAGGAAGUGCUGUCCACCUGCCAACCACUGCUCUGCUACACUCCAGACAAUUUUAUUCCUCUUAGGGAUUACAUCAGUGUGGAGGAAGAAGAAAUUUAUCUUUUGAAUCCACCCUCCUGUCACAGUCAUGAUGGAAACCCCCCCACUGCUGUGUAUGACUCUGCCCACUCUGACAGAUUGCCCUCCCCCCUCUACAGAGGCGACACUCCCUACACCAUCCUCAACGCCAUGGAGACCAAUGAGCCAAUAACGGCCAUCUUCAUGGGCUUCCAGACAGCUCAGGAUGUCAGCGGGCAGGGUCGAGAGUUUGAGGGCUCAAUAAAGGCCGAGCUGGUCAUCAUCGAAGACAACGCUGCUAACAACAUCAUGAGGGAGAAGAAGAGCCAGGCCAUGCUUGGGGGCAAUAGUUAUCCAACAGGAAGUUCAGCUAAUGGAAUCAUGGGACGCAUGAAGGGAAUAGGAGACAAGAGGAUGGAGAAACAGGUGGGACCAGAUAUCAGAGAGGUCCCCAAAAAACACAAACUGUGCUGUACUGUCUGCUAACUGGAUGUACUAAUGCCUGAGUGUCUGUAUAAGUCUGCUAACCUGAUGACGAACUGCAAAUGAGCCCACCAACAGUCUCUGACUCAUGACAUAAGCAGUGUGUGAUGGGUCAAACAGAUACUGUCAUGUCAUAUAAUACACAGACGUGUAGUGUUGCUGGUGUGCUGACAUAACCUACCCACAUGAAGGGGAAACCCAGGUUUCCCUAUCCUGGAAACUCAAUACUUUCUACAUUAAAUGAAUCAAGUAGCUCCAUGAUAGAGAAAGGAGUCACUUAAAGUGAUGAGCUCAGAGCUCAUCACUUUAAGUGGUUCCAUCCAACAUUUCAAUUUCAAGAUCUAGCACAGUUAAGUCUCGGCACUAUGCACCAUCUGCUUAGCUGCAACAGCAGACAAGCAUGGUCAGAGACUAGCUGGUGAACAUAGUGGAGCAUUCAGCAGCUAAAGAGACUAAGAAGUUCAUAAAAACCAAAACAGAUCUGGAAGGAGAGUCACUGCACCAAAGUAAUGCUUGUCUUGCUGUGUGUCUUUUGGAUGUGGUAAUAUGCAAUUGUUUUCUACAGCCUGAACACAUUUAUAUGGUAACAUAGUUGGCCAAACAAAUCUAUUAAUGCAGUAAUUAAAAGCUUUACUCUACCAAUAUACACUGAACACUUUUGUUUUUGCUCCCAUUUUUCACGAGCUGAACUCAAAGAUCUAAAACUUUUUCCUUAUACACAAAAGAUCCAUUUCUCUCAAAUAUUGUUCACAAAUCUGUCUAAAUCUGUGUUAGUGAGCACUUCUCCUUUGCCGAGAUAAUCCAUCCCACCUAACAGGUGUGGCAUAUCAAGAUGCUGAUUAGACAGCAUGAAUAUUGCACAGGUGUGCCUUAGACUGUGUAGGAACACAAGCCUUUGUCUCUGCAUCUUAAAGUGGUCUCAUUUCGGCCAUGAUUACCUUUAACCCAAAUCAACUCCUUUUUCCAGCAUAUGGGACUGAAAGCCCCCAUAUCCUGGCCUGGCAAAAUCCUCUCCUCUCCACAGAGUGGGAAGAUGUUGUUUUUCUUGCAAUAAACAGAUCACCAGAGAUCUUCUUUUAGUAAUUUACAACAACUAAGCACAUCUGGUCUGUUCCCCUUCCUCCAAAGAAGAUGAACCCCUUUUCCUCAGGUCAAACAAGGUCAAGCCCGAUAGUCUUCUUUGUCCACACCAAGAGGAAGGAGGAAUGUUUUCUAACAUAGAUGUGGUGAUUUAAGAUGUUUUACUAAUCUACGUUUCUCUCCCUCUGGAACAUUCUCCAGUGGGGGAAGGCUUAAUGGGAAACCUAAUCUGUGUGUUCUUCUCCUCACAUGUCCAACAGUUAUUUACGACCGUUGUUGUUCCUGGGUCUGACAUUCCAACCCCCCUUGCAGUUUUCUGUUCUCACCCAAAUUCAAAUACGUCCUAAAUAACUAAUAAACUACAUUUCAAUUUCUUAAAUUUAGCAGAUUCCGAAAUAGCGUAAAAAGGUCAUACAGCAGAUCUUUCCCAUGUUAUUGUCAAGCCCAAAAGAAAUUUAUUACUCAAUGAGUCUGAGGUCAACAGAAACCACCCCUCCCCUUUGUCGAUGGAGGAAAGACUUGGAGAUCAUCAUUCCUUGUGUAAUACUUGUGUUAUUCACCAGUUAAAUGUCUGAUAUGUUUUGUUAAAGAUAGAACUACAAGGAAUAUGUAUAAGUCCUUGGUUCUACUGUGUAUCGUAUACUUUAUUGUUAUAUGUUGUAUACUUUAUGGCUUCAUGUGUUAAUCAGGUUAUAAUUCUUUUGAAUGACAAAUGAUCAUUAUCAUGUUGCAUCUUUUCAUGAAGACAAAAAUUUGACUUUUAAGAUGGUGAAGUUUUGGGAAGGUUAAAACACGAUUUCAAAAUGUUGAAUACAAUAGUAUAGUUAGAUUAACUUUUUCGGCGCCUAAACGCAGAUCACAGGAGGUGUGACACUGUCAGCCAGCCCCCCCUGUUCAGUCUGCCUGCUGCAGGUCAUAAAACAGACACUCUCCCCUUCUCUCACUCUCUUCUUCUCCGGGCGUUCCUCUCUCCCUGUCCUCUUCUCCCCCUGCUUCUUCUCCUUCUUCUCUCUUCUCUUCUUUGUUUUUUCAUUUUUAUUUUUAUUUUAAAGUAAUCUUUACUUUUAUUUUCGCAACAAGCUCUAAAACAAGCGAAUUGAAUCCCUACUUUAAGUAUUUUACUUUUAUUCAAGUUUUUAAUAGAACAAAUUAUUUUCUUUUUGAUUUUAUACUGUUAAAAUAUCGCCGCCUGAUUCAGAAGAAGUUGAAUUAGUUUCAGAAUCAGAACUUCAGUACCACUAUUUGAAACCACCAAGAAAUUUCUUUUUCAAGACUGUGAUCAUCUGAUGAAGAAUGUUGCAAGCCUUGCAAGGAGUCUCCAACAAAAAGAGACUUUGUGUGCUCCCAGCCGAGACGACUCUGCCCCCAGCGCUCCCAAGGCGGAAACCCCGCUGGGCCUUCGGACCAAGAGUUCCUCAACAGAGUACCGGCCUUCCCUCUGGCUACUGGACCGACGUGCCGUGCCGUAGUCCAAACCAGAACUCUCAAGAACACCAAACUUCAGUGCCUCCUGACUCCCAGACAAAGCCGGCUGAACGUCUUCAUGCAGCUGGAUCCACACACGUGAGAAUGAGUGGUGUCUAAAGUUAUGACCUCUGUCAAAGUUAUGACUUCUGUCUAAGUUCUAACUUCUAUCUUAUGAACUUAAGAGAAUUACGAUUAGGGUCUCAUAGUAUUAAAAAUUACUCCCGUAAUAUUUAAUAUAUAAAUCCCGACCCUUUAACUUUACCAUCUACCGACGGUCACACAACGUUAUUACUUUUCUUAUUACAGUCUUUACCUUCUCUGUUAUCUGUUGUUCGUCUAAAAUUGUCAUGUCCUUUAUUUUACCCCAAUUUAUUUAGUCAAUAAACAUAUAUAAUCGUUUGUCUUUGUCUGGAACUUAAUUUUAAUAUGGAGAACCGAUGGAUAUGUGCAAAGAAGUCACUACUUCAGAAUAUUGAGACUGAAUAAAUUGAAUUUUGAAUGGAUUCUAACUGUCCAAGCCAACUGGUACAGUUAGGUGUUUGGAAUAAUGUCCUCCGGAUCCAGAACAGACAUAAAAGUGGCA